CCUCAGGUACAGAAACCCUCCUGCUUUUUCCCCUUACAGAGGCAGGCUGCAAAACCCAGCAGUUCAGCAACCUUCACAGUCAACUGCCCUGCUGUAGCAAGUCAGACAACUUGAUCAAUCGGCAUGAGAACACCCUGCAGAAGUAUGCAAGCCUGUGCAAGGCCCCUCAUCACGGCUCUCUUUGCUAUGGACGAGGAACUGGGAGAGGUGAUGCCCUCUGGGGUCUGACUCUGGAGUGCCUUGUAAUGAAACGGUUUAGUGCACACAGUCUAAUUACUAUAGACUGACAAACAGGAUGACUCAGCCAGCCCCAGACCAAGCUCAUUUGACUUUAGAGCAUUGUGGUUUGUUUGCAUUUCAUGGGGGACAAGAG